rnacentral:rRNA from 1 species
UACGAAGGGGGCUGAGCGUUGCUCGGAAUCACUGGGCGUAAAGGGUGCGUAGGCGGGUCUUUAAGUCAGGGGUGAAAUCCUGGAGCUCAACUCCAGAACUGCCCUUUGAUACUGAGGAUCUUGAGUUCGGGAGAGGUGAGUGGAACUGCGAGUGUAGAGGUGAAAUUCGUAGAUAUUCGCAAGAACACCAAUGGCGAAGGCAGCUCGCUGGGACGGUACUGACGCUGAGACGCGAAAGCGUGGGGAGCAAACAGGGAU